AGUGAGGAAUAUUGGUCAAUGGCCUAACGGCUGAACCAGCAACUUGCAGGAAUGAGAGUUAAUAUAAAAGAUUUAUUAACUUGCUUGACUAGGUCUUAUAAAGUUCUGGAUAAAGCUGAUAAUGACAACUUUAUAUCCAUAGGUCUCGACUAAAUCUUGUGCCAGCAGUCGCGGUAAGACAAGGGAGACGAGUGUUAUUCAUCUUAAACAGGUAUAUUGGGUACCUAGACUGUGUAUGAAGGCUUUUAUAGUACCUACUACACUAGAGUUUAAUAUGUGAGAGGAAGAUGUCAGAAUUAUUGGAGUAGAGAUGAAAUCCUUUAAUACUAAUAGGACUGAUAAUGGCGAAGGCAAACCUCUAUGUAUAUGUACUUUUAAGAAGAACAAUUUAAUGAUAAGAGUUAAAGAGUAUAUAUUAUUAUAUAUCAACUGAUAGAGAUAAUAAAUGAGAACUAAAGUACUAAACUGACGUUGAGGGACGAAGGCUCAGAGAGUGAAGAGGAUUAGAUACCCCCGUAGCCUGGGCAGACAAUGAUGAGUGCCAUAGGUUGGCUUUUAGUUGAACUAUAAAUGAAAGUGGAAGCACUCCACCUCAAGAGUAAUGUGGCAACGCAGGAACUGAAAUCAUUAGACCGUUUCUGAAACCAGUAGUGAAGUAUGUUAUUUAAUUCGAUGAUCCGCGAAUAACCUUACCACAAUUUGAAUGCUCUAAAUUAGAAUAUAAACACAAGAAGGGCAUUAUGUUAAGAUAAUUAUAUUUUGUCCUUAUUGUGUUAUUUAGACCACAUGCGUUGCAUGGCUGUCUUCAGUUAAUGUCGUGAGAUUUGGUUAGGUCCAUUAAAUUAACGUAAACCCUUGUUUUAUUUUAAAAAAAAAAAAUAAGG
rnacentral:rRNA from 1 species